CUGUUGUAUGAAAGGAGAGAAGGUUAGCACUCCCCUUGACAACGAUGGAAGAGGCCCUUGGGCCUAAGAACACACACACGGUUAAGACAGUCUCAUGUAACCCCCGGUAAUC
rnacentral:ncRNA from 1 species